GCUUGCAUAGCUCUGUUGGUAGAUCAUGGGACUCUUAUUCUCAGGCCUGUGGGUUCAAGCACCUCUUUGGGCA